rnacentral:rRNA from 1 species
AAGAAUAGUGUUAUUGUACCUACUAAAGAAAUAAAACUCAUUAUCAAAGGUAAAGAUAUGAAAAGAGGAAGAAGUCGAGCUAGAAGAAAAAUUCCCACAGCAACCAUAGUUGCUACGUGUAUAAGAGCCAAAAGAUUGUCUCUCAAAUGA